AUGUGAAUUACAUGACAAUCUUGUAAAUGUACAUUCUGAUUCUGUAGGUCUGGGUUGGGGCCUGAAAUUCUACAUUUUUGACAAGCUACUAGGUGAUGCUGAU
rnacentral:pre_miRNA from 1 species